AUCGCUUCCAAAAUGGCGAUGAUGUAUGAAGGAUAACAACAGAGAUAGUGUGGGAGGGAUCUAACUUUUUCUCAAUGUUCUGUUUACAAAAGUUAUGUGAACUUUACCGUAUAUGAAAGUUGAAGUACUGCUGUCCGCCUCUUGAUAUCAAUAAUAUUCUGUCGACCUGGCUUUCAUAAAACAUAUGUAAUCUGGCGGAGAAGCGAAGACCUAGCUCACCUAGAAUCUUGAAUGGCAGUGGUAGGGAACCUUGUCAAUUUGUUCUAUGAUUAACCCUCUUUGUUAUACAAGGCGUGCCUGUUUUACCUAUACUCAAAACUCAAGUAUCCAUUGUAUAAAACUGGCUAGAAUAUAUAUUAAAAUAUAAUUUCCCAAGGCUGUAAAUCCAUUUAAAUUUGAGUUUGUUGUUCUUGUAUCGACGGAAGUUCUCAAGAUAGAUGCUGUGAUAAUGACAUAUUUCUCGUUCUAUGUUUAACAGAACAGAAUGCGAGAUGAUCCCGAAGACAUUUUUACGAAACAAGAAGAGAUCGGGAAAGGUUCUUUUGGCAAAGUUUACAAGGGGUAAGCUACAGCCAAUAAACUUAAUUACGUCUUAUAUCUGUCCAGGUGAUCAGAGC